rnacentral:rRNA from 1 species
CAGAGGGGGAUAACGACUGGAAACGAUCGCUAAUACCGCAUGACAUAGCGGAAUCGCAUGGUUCUGUUAUCAAAGAUUUUAUCGCUGAUAGAUGGGCUCGCGUCCGAUUAGAUAGUUGGUGGGGUAACGGCCUACCAAGUCGACGAUCGGUAGCCGGACUGAGAGGUCGAACGGCCACAUUGGGACUGAGACACGGCCCAGACUCCUACGGGAGGCAGCAGUGGGGGAUAUUGCACAAUGGGGGAAACCCUGAUGCAGCGACGCCGCGUGAGGGAAGACGGUCCUCUGGAUUGUAAACCUCUGUCUUCGGGGACGAAACGAGACGGUACCCGAGGAGGAAGCCACGGCUAACUACGUGCCAGCAGCCGCGGUAAUACGUAGGUGGCAAGCGUUGUCCGGAAUUACUGGGUGUAAAGGGAGCGUAGGCGGGCAGGCAAGUCAGGCGUGAAAUAUAUCGGCUCAACCGGUAACGGCGCUUGAA